GGCAAUUCCAAUUGGUACAUUUGAGGGGGAAAAUUUGAGUGAAAUUCUGCGCUUACUGAGCUAAACGCACCAAAUUGGAUAUUUUGAUUGGCAGGAAAUUUGUAAAUGAGCGGAAUGUGAGGUGCCGGGAAACUUGAGUGGGACACUUAUUGGUUGGCAUUCCUUAUUGGAUUUAUGGGACUAUGAAUAGUGUUUGAGUACUUUCGAAUUUAGAAUAUAAAACAUAGUAUAUCAGAUUAGAUCCUAGACUGGACGAACUGGAAACUGGGCCUAGCACAACAACUCUAAAAUAGUGUAGAGCACUUAGGAGAUUCAAUAGAGAGUGUGAGGGGAAUGGUACCAAAAUAAAUCAUGUCAAAGUUCUAUUAACAAAUUUGCCAUAAAUAGCAUCUGCUGAUAAUUAAUAUAAUCUAAAGAUUUCUAAUCAAUUAUAUAUACAUAAGUAUAUAUAUAGCGAAACAAAU